GUCUAUGAUCAUAUCACCCUGGCCAUACCCUAUCUCAUCUCAUCUCAUCUUGGAAGCUAAGCAGGGUUGGAACUGGUUAGUAUUUGGAUGGAUGAUUUAAUGCAAUCUUUAUCAAGAUC
ensembl:rRNA 5S_rRNA 5S ribosomal RNA